UAGGGAAUCUUCGGCAAUGGGGGGAACCCUGACCGAGCAACGCCGCGUGAGUGAAGAAGGUUUUCGGAUCGUAAAGCUCUGUUGUUAAGGAAGAACGAGUGUGAGAAUGGAAAGUUCAUGCUGUGACGGUACUUAACCAGAAAGGGACGGCUAACUACGUGCCAGCAGCCGCGGUAAUACGUAGGUCCCGAGCGUUGUCCGGAUUUAUUGGGCGUAAAGCGAGCGCAGGCGGUUAGAAAAGUCUGAAGUGAAAGGCAGUGGCUCAACCAUUGUAGGCUUUGGAAACUGUUUAACUUGAGUGCAGAAGGGGAGAGUGGAAUUCCAUGUGUGGCGGUGAAAUGCGUAGAUAUAUGGAGGAACACCGGUGGCGAAGGCGGCUCUCUGGUCUGUAACUGACGCUGAGGCUCGAAAGCGUGGGGAGCGAACAGG
rnacentral:rRNA from 1 species